rnacentral:rRNA from 1 species
AUGGAAUACAAGGAGUACUACACCACUUAUUCUAGAAAUAGCACAGUGUGGCUCCGUGCGGGGUCUCCUCCAUCAACUCUCAUAUAUAAGCAUCCCAUCAAUUGUGCGUUGUCGGUGGUUUGCACUUUGGAGGCGGCUUCGGUUUCGGUUCAGGUUCAGGCUUGGGCUCUGGCUUUGGUUCGGGUUUUGGCACCAGCUUUGGUUUGGAGCAGGGCUCGGGCUUCGGUUUUGGCAUCGGCUUGGGCUUGGGUUCUGGCUCAGGCUUAUGUCCAGGCUUUUGUUCGGGCUUUGGUUUGGGUUUGGGCGUCGGUUCAGGUUUGCAUGGCUCUGGCUCUGUGUGUGGCAUAG